CCUACGGGAGGCAGCAGUGGGGAAUAUUGCACAAUGGGCGCAAGCCUGAUGCAGCCAUGCCGCGUGUGUGAAGAAGGCCUUCGGGUUGUAAAGCACUUUCAGCGGGGAGGAAGGCGUUAAGGUUAAUAACCUUGUCGAUUGACGUUACCCGCAGAAGAAGCACCGGCUAACUCCGUGCCAGCAGCCGCGGUAAUACGGAGGGUGCAAGCGUUAAUCGGAAUUACUGGGCGUAAAGCGCACGCAGGCGGUCUGUCAAGUCGGAUGUGAAAUCCCCGGGCUCAACCUGGGAACUGCAUUCGAAACUGGCAGGCUAGAGUCUUGUAGAGGCGGGUAGAAUUCCAGGUGUAGCGGUGAAAUGCGUAGAGAUCUGGAGGAAUACCGGUGGCGAAGGCGGCCCCCUGGACAAAGACUGACGCUCAGGUGCGAAAGCGUGGGGAGCAAACAGGAUUAGAUACCCGGGUAGUC
rnacentral:rRNA from 1 species